rnacentral:tRNA from 1 species
GGGACUAAGGUGUUAGCGGCAGCAUCCCCGGCUCUUAACCGGUGAGGUCAGGGUUCGAGCCCCUGUGGUCCUA